rnacentral:rRNA from 1 species
AACGAACGCUGGCGGCAUGCCUAACACAUGCAAGUCGAACGAGACCUUCGGGUCUAGUGGCGCACGGGUGCGUAACGCGUGGGAAUCUGCCCUUUGGUUGGGAAUAACUGAGAGAAAUUUCAGCUAAUACCUUAUAAUGUCUUCGGACCAAAGAUUUAUCGCCGAGGGAUGAGCCCGCGUAGGAUUAGGUAGUUGGUGGGGUAAUGGCCUACCAAGCCGACGAUCCUUAGCUGGUCUGAGAGGAUGAUCAGCCACACUGGGACUGAGACACGGCCCAGACUCCUACGGGAGGCAGCAGUGGGGAAUAUUGGACAAUGGGCGAAAGCCUGAUCCAGCAAUGCCGCGUGAGUGAUGAAGGCCUUAGGGUUGUAAAGCUCUUUUACCCGGGAUGAUAAUGACAGUACCGGGAGAAAAAGCUCCGGCUAACUCCGUG